rnacentral:rRNA from 1 species
UACGUAGGGGGCUAGCGUUGUCCGGAUUCACUGGGCGUAAAGGGUGCGCAGGCGGCCAAGUGUGUGAGGCGUGAAAGCCCGGGGCUUAACCCCGGAAUUGCACCUCAAACUACAUGGCUAGAGCAUUGGAGAGGGUAGCGGAAUUCACGGUGUAGCAGUGAAAUGCGUAGAUAUCGUGAGGAACACCAGAGGCGAAGGCGGCUACCUGGACAAUUGCUGACGCUCAGGCACGAAAGCGUGGGGAGCAAAAGGG